UACAUAAGCUAGGGUAUAAGACGAAAGGAGGAGAAGCCUUCACCCUCUCUUUCCGUCCGGUGGCUUUGGAGGUGCAGGUUCCCUGCUGUUGAGUCUGUCGUGUUGGGGAGUGAGGCCUGGUAAGGCCUUGCCGACCUUGGGAGACAGAGGUUGCCGGCAGUUGUUCCAGUGUGACUUUCCAUUGUCCCAAGGAGAGUAAUAGACCAGUUCUUGCCUCCCUGAUAUCCCCGGUGUAAUUCACCUCAUCAAAGAGAGGAAUCAAGCCCAAACAAGGUGCUUCUGCUACGUCCACAAUGAGAGUUAGGUUCAUGGAGACAGUGAGGCCGGUCUUACAUCAUCCUGAUCCCAGAAAAACCUGAAGCCUCAAGCAAGCUGCACCUACUGGUGUGAGCUGAAUGCCUCAGUCAAGACAAGCAGCAUCACAGCUGCAGC